rnacentral:rRNA from 1 species
AUGGCAACUUCAUCUUCAAGUUCCGUCGAGGAGGAGGAGGUGGUGGAUUUGCAGGAUCAAGAAAUCAAGGUGGGUGGUGACAAGCCGUCGGUCGAGUCGGCAGGCAGCCCUGCAGAUCCAGCACAAAAGAAGAAAAAGAAGAUCCUGCGUGUGGUGCCUGAGAGCGAUGUGAAAUAUGUCAUGAGUUACAAGCCGUUGCCCCAAAGGACGGAGGCCAAUACGGAUGAGGUCGUGGAGGACAUGCAACGGAGGAUGCUCGAGACACAGAAAGACUACAGGCAACAGCUGAAAAACAAGGGCAUAGUCACACCUACGAGGAGGAGGUUGAUGAGGACUACGACGAAGACGAAGACUACGCUCCACUGCAUCCACCGGGUCGGAGGAGGCACCGACCUGGCGUCAUGA